rnacentral:tRNA from 1 species
GCAUCGAUGGUUCAGUGUUAGAAUGCUUGCCUUCCACGCGGGUAACCCGGGUUUGAUUCCCAGCCAAUGUG